rnacentral:rRNA from 1 species
GUAACAAGGUUUCCGUAGGUGAACCUGCGGAAGGAUCAUUACCUAGAGUUUGUAGACUUCGGUCUGCUACCUCUUACCCAUGUCUUUUGAGUACCUUCGUUUCCUCGGCGGGUCCGCCCGCCGAUUGGACAACAUUCAAACCCUUUGCAGUUGCAAUCAGCGUCUGAAAAAACAUAAUAGUUACAACUUUCAACAACGGAUCUCUUGGUUCUGGCAUCGAUGAAGAACGCAGCGAAAUGCGAUAAGUAGUGUGAAUUGCAGAAUUCAGUGAAUCAUCGAAUCUUUGAACGCACAUUGCGCCCCUUGGUAUUCCAUGGGGCAUGCCUGUUCGAGCGUCAUUUGUACCUUCAAGCUCUGCUUGGUGUUGGGUGUUUGUCUCGCCUCUGCGUGUAGACUCGCCUUAAAACAAUUGGCAGCCGGCGUAUUGAUUUCGGAGCGCAGUACAUCUCGCGCUUUGCACUCAUAACGACGACGUCCAAAAGUACAUUUUUACACUCUUGACCUCGGAUC